AUUCUGUGUAAUCUUUUCUGUAUCUUUCAGGUGCUGGUCAGAUUCUUGGAUUAAUUUUUUAGAUCUGUUCUGCAGAUGAACAGAGGACUUCAGGCUGCGGGACUGCCAGUUCCAGCCUCUUGCCACAGACUCUCUUUGACUACAUUAACUGUUAUAGUACAUUUGGUCUCUUUCAAAAGUGUUCCGAAGUCCACGGCUUUCUCUGAUGUAUUCUUUAAGCUCUGUUUUUUUCCUGACACUGGAGAACCUACGUCACUGAAGAUCUUCCCUAAUGAUUUACUGUGCUACUUCAACAUGGAUGUUAAGAUCCAAUCCUACCCCAUAAACGGCUUUGACAUGAAAUCUGAAUGGAAGAGAUGUGUCAUUUUGGAACAGAAUCUUUACGAGCCAUUGUUUCCACCAACUCGCCAUUUCUCCAUCGCCACGAGGCCCGCAACUCACCCUCUGUGGACAUGGAAACAAGCUUUAACCUGGCCUGCAGAGACCAUGCUUCCCUGAAACAGAACUGGCUGUGGACUAACAUCUUUCACUUGGCAACUGAUCUUCCUGUUGGGAGGAGGGCACUGCAGAGAGCAUCCACAUUAAAAGAUGGUGAUGGGUGCAGCGAGAUGGAGCAGGCAACUUGCAAAUAUAGAUAACAGAAAACCAUUUUGUCAACAAAGCUAUAAUCUUGGACCCAUCUUUGAAAAGAUCUAGGUUCAUGUGGCUGCCACCUUUCCAGCUGUCUCUCCAGCUCCUGUCUUAGCUCAUCAACAUCUUUUAAAAAGGACUAAGAAGAAAAACCACAAAUGAGAGGCAGCCCAUGU